AGUGAACGCUGGCGGUAGGCCUAACACAUGCAAGUCGAACGGCAGCACAGUAAGAGCUUGCUCUUACGGGUGGCGAGUGGCGGACGGGUGAGGAAUAAAUCGGAAUCUACUUUUUCGUGGGGGAUAACGUAGGGAAACUUACGCUAAUACCGCAUACGACCUACGGGUGAAAGCAGGGGAUCUUCGGACCUUGCGCGAUUGAAUGAGCGGAUGUCGGAUUAGCUAGUUGGCGGGGUAAAGGCCCACCAAGGCGACGAUCCGUAGCUGGUCUGAGAGGAUGAUCAGCCACACUGGAACUGAGACACGGUCCAGACUCCUACGGGAGGCAGCAGUGGGGAAUAUUGGACAAUGGGCGCAAGCCUGAUCCAGCCAUACCGCGUGGGUGAAGAAGGCCUUCGGGUUGUAAAGCCCUUUUGUUGGGAAAGAAAAGCAGCAGGUUAAUACCCCGCUGUUCUGACGGUACCCAAAGAAUAAGCACCGGCUAACUUCGUG
rnacentral:rRNA from 1 species